GACGAACGCUGGCGGCGUGCUUAACACAUGCAAGUCGAACGGAAAGGCCCUGCUUUUGUGGGGUGCUCGAGUGGCGAACGGGUGAGUAACACGUGAGUAACCUGCCCUUGACUUUGGGAUAACUUCAGGAAACUGGGGCUAAUACCGGAUAGGAGCUCCUGCUGCAUGGUGGGGGUUGGAAAGUUUCGGCGGUUGGGGAUGGACUCGCGGCUUAUCAGCUUGUUGGUGGGGUAGUGGCUUACCAAGGCUUUGACGGGUAGCCGGCCUGAGAGGGUGACCGGCGACCUUGGGACUGAGAUACGGCCCAGACUCCUACGGGAGGCAGCAGGGGGGAAUAUUGCACAAUGGGCGGAAGCCUGAUGCAGCAACGCCGCGUGCGGGAUGACGGCCUUCGGGUUGUAAACCGCUUUCGCCUGUGACGAAGCGUGAGUGACGGUAAUGGGUAAAGAAGCACCGGCUAACUACGUG
rnacentral:rRNA from 1 species